UCUACCUUUGGGUGGGGAAUAACUCGGAGAAACCCGAGCUAAUACCGCAUAAUGCAGCGGCUCGACAUCGAGACAGUUGUUAAAGCAGCAAUGCGCCUAAAGAGGAGCCUGCGUCUGAUUAGCUAGUUGGUGAGGUAACGGCCCACCAAGCCGACGAUGGGUAGCUGGUCUGAGAGGAUGAUCAGCCACACUGGAACUGAGACACGGUCCAG
rnacentral:rRNA from 1 species